GCCAGCAACAAAGAAGGCCAACAACAAAGAAGGCCAACAACAAAGAAGGCCAACAACAAAGAAGGCCAACAACAAAGAAGGCCAACAACAAAGAAGGCCAACAACAAAGAAGGCCAACAACAAGAUGGCUAAUGACAAAGAUGACAAAAAACCUAAAUUGCCAAAAAUCCAGAUGGCAACAACUAGAGAUGGUGUCUGCGAUGAACGAGGUAUGCAAGUUUAUGGACCCUUUCAAGUUCGUAGUAAUGUAUGCUGAUGUGAGGGGGACUGUCACUUGGACCUCAGUCCCUCUCGCCCUGGAGGAACAGUUCAUGACUUGGUGUAGGCUGAGUUCUUCAUGACAAGGGUCUGCUGGAGGAGGAGGAGGACAAGGUGUCUCUGUAGUCGUCCUGCAGCGCCAAUCACCGCAGCACACGCAGAGCAUAGGAGUGACCUCCCUGCUGGUCUGUUCCCUGAGCAUGGGGCGACAAAAACAAAAACCAAUAUGGCCAACAACCAAGAUGGCCAACAACAAA